rnacentral:rRNA from 1 species
AGAGUUUGAUCAAUUGGGCUCAGGAUGAACGGCUAGCGGCAGGCCUAAUACAUGCAAGACAACGGUAAGUUGAGUAGCAAUACUUAGCCAAGAGUGUCGUACGGGUGCGUAACACGUAUGCAACCUACCCUAUACAGGAGGAUAGCCUAGGGAAACCUGGAUUAACCCUUCAUAGUAUUAUUGGAUGGCAUCAUUUGAUAGUUAAAACUGAGGUGGUAUAGGAUGGGCAUGCGUCUGAUUAGUUAGUUGGCGGGGUAAUGGCCCACCAAGACGAUGAUCAGUAGGGGUUCUGAGAGGAAGAUCCCCCACACUGGCACUGAGAUACGGGCCAGACUCCUACGGGAGGCAGCAGUAGGGAAUAUUGGUCAAUGGAUGCAAGUCUGAACCAGCCAUGCCGCGUGCAGGAAGAAGGCCUUCUGGGUUGUAAACUGCUUUUGCCAGGGGAUAAAAUUUCCAUGCGUGGAAAACUGAAGGUACCUGGUGAAUAAGCCACGGCUAACUACGUG